rnacentral:rRNA from 1 species
GACGAACGCUGGCGGCGUGCUUAACACAUGCAAGUCGAACGGAAAGGCCCUGCUUUUGUGGGGUGCUCGAGUGGCGAACGGGGGUGUAAAACGUGAGUAACCCGUCCCUGACUUUGGGAUAACUUCAGGAAACUGGGGCUAAUAUAGGAUAGGAGAUCCUGAAGCAUGGUGGGGGUUGGAAAGUUUCGGCGGUUGGGGAUGGACUCGCGGCUUAUCAGCUUGUUGGUGGGGUAGGGGAUUACCAAGGCUUUGACGGGUAGCCGGCCUGGGAGGGUAGCCGGCCACAUUGGGACUGCGAUACGCCCCAGACUCCUACGGGAGGCAGCAGUGGGGAGUAUUGCACAAUGGGCGGAAGCCUGAUGCAGCAACGCCGCGUGCGGGAUGACGGCCUUCGGGUUGUAAACCGCUUUCGCCUGUGACGAAGCGUGAGUGACGGUAAUGGGUAAAGAAGCACCGGCUAACUACGUG